rnacentral:rRNA from 1 species
UACGGAGGAUGCAAGCGUUAUCCGGAAUCAUUGGGCGUAAAGCGUCCGCAGGUGGUCUGAUAAGUCUAGGGUCAAAGACAGAAGCUCAACUUCUGCAAGGCCAAGGAAACUGUGAGACUAGAGGCAGGUAGGGGUAGCAGGAAUUCCCAGUGUAGCGGUGAAAUGCGUAGAGAUUGGGAAGAACAUCGGUGGCGAAAGCGUGCUACUGGGCUGAGCCUGACACUGAGGGACGAAAGCUAGGGGAGCGAAAGGG